AGCAUCUGGUCCUGCAGCUAUUAAAGACAGGCACGAUUCUCCAUCAAGGAUCCUGCUUCUGGAAGGGGAGUUACUUUGCCCCAGGUCUUGCAAACUGGAGGAUGUGAGAAAAGGUGACUUGACAGAUGGAAGGCUGAGCAGUCCUCAGUGUGGGACACCGUGUCCAAGAUCAAUCCAUGCUCAAUCUGGAAAUCGCUGACUGCAUUUACAACUGAAAAGAAAUCAGGACUCCCCUAAAACAUGAAUGAGAACUGCAGUGCUCCAUGCCUGUUCACAGAUAUGAAUUCCGCUGGACUUGUGGGAAAGCCAAUGUCAGGUCAUUUUAAAGGAAAAUGCUUACACUAUUUUGAGAAAAAUUUAAACUCUAACACUUUAAAA